GAUGAACGCUGGCGGCGUGCCUAAUACAUGCAAGUCGAGCGAAUGGAUUAAGAGCUUGCUCUUAUGAAGUUAGCGGCGGACGGGUGAGUAACACGUGGGUAACCUGCCCAUAAGACUGGGAUAACUCCGGGAAACCGGGGCUACUACCGGAUAACAUUUUGAACCGCAUGGUUCGAAAUUGAAAGGCGGCUUCGGCGGUCUCUAAUGGCUGGACCGGCGGCGCAUUAGCUAGUUGGUGAGGUAACGGCUAACCAAGGCAACGAUGAGUAGCCGACCUGGGAGGGUGAUCGGCCACACUGGGACUGAGACACGGCCCAGACUCCUACGGGAGGCAGCAGUAGGGAAUCUUCCGCAAUGGACGAAAGUCUGACGGAGCAACGCCGCGUGAGUGAUGAAGGCUUUCGGGUCGUAAAACUCUGUUGUUAGGGAAGAACAAGUGCUAGUUGAAUAAGCUGGCACCUUGACGGUACCUAACCAGAAAGCCACGGCUAACUACGUGCCAGCAGCCGCAGUAA
rnacentral:rRNA from 1 species